rnacentral:rRNA from 1 species
UACGGAGGGGGCUAGCGUUGCUCGGAAUUACUGGGCGUAAAGCGCGCGUAGGCGGACCUGCAAGUCGGGGGUGAAAGCCCGAGGCUCAACCUCGGAACUGCCUUCGAUACUGCGGGUCUCGAGUCCGGGAGAGGUGAGUGGAAUUCCUAGUGUAGAGGUGAAAUGCGUAGAUAUCUGGAGGAACACCGGUGGCGAAGGCGGCAUCCUGGACCGACAUUGACGCUGAUGAGCGAAAGCUAGGGGAGCAAACGGG